UAGGGAAUCUUCCGCAAUGGGCGAAAGCCUGACGGAGCAACGCCGCGUGAGUGAUGAAGGUCUUCGGAUCGUAAAACUCUGUUAUUAGGGAAGAACAAAUGUGUAAGUAACUAUGCACGUCUUGACGGUACCUAAUCAGAAAGCCACGGCUAACUACGUGCCAGCAGCCGCGGUAAUACGUAGGUGGCAAGCGUUAUCCGGAAUUAUUGGGCGUAAAGCGCGCGUAGGCGGUUUUUUAAGUCUGAUGUGAAAGCCAACGGCUCAACCGUGGAGGGUCAUGGGAAACUGGAAAACUUGAGUGCAGAAGAGGAAAGUGGAAUUCCAUGUGUAGCGGUGAAAUGCGCAGAGAUAUGGAGGAACACCAGUGGCGAAGGCGGCUUUCUGGUCUGUAACUGACGCUGAUGUGCGAAAGCGUGGGGAUCAAACAGG
rnacentral:rRNA from 1 species